UGGGGAAUAUUGGGCAAUGGGGCGCAAGCCUGACCCAGCAACGCCGCGUGAAGGAAGAAGGCUUUCGGGUUGUAAACUUCUUUUGUCAGGGACGAGGAGAAGACGGUACCUGACGAAUAAGCCACGGCUAACUACGUGCCAGCAGCCGCGGUAAUACGUAGGUGGCAAGCGUUGUCCGGAUUUACUGGGUGUAAAGGGCGUGUAGCCGGGUCGGCAAGUCAGAUGUGAAAUCCACGGGCUUAACUCGUGAACUGCAUUUGAAACUGUAAGACUUGAGUACUGAAGAGGCAAGCGGAAUUCCUAGUGUAGCGGUGGAAUGCGUAGAUA
rnacentral:rRNA from 1 species